rnacentral:rRNA from 1 species
AUUGAACGCUGGCGGCAUGCUUUACACAUGCAAGUCGAACGGCAGCGCGGGCUUCGUCCUGGCGGCGAGUGGCGAACGGGUGAGUAAUACAUCGGAACGUGCCCAGUAGUGGGGGAUAGCUCGGCGAAAGCCGGAUUAAUACCGCAGACGACCUGAGGGUGAAAGCGGGGGAUCUUUGGACCUCGCGCUAUUGGAGCGGCCGAUGCCAGAUUAGCUAGUUGGUGGGGUAAAGGCCUACCUAGGCGAGGAUCUGUAGCUGGUCUGAGUGGACGAGUGGCCACACUGGGACUGAGACACGGCCCAGACUCCUACGGGAGGCAGCAGUGGGGAAUUUUGGACAAUGGGCGAAAGCCUGACACAGCAAUGCCGAGUGUGUGAUGAAGGCCUUCGGGUUGUAAAGCACUUUUGGCGGGAACGAAAAGGACUGUGCCAAUACCACGGUUCGAUGACGGUACCCGCAGAAUAAGCACCGGCUAACUACGUG